AUUGAACGCUAGCGGCAUGCUUUACACAUGCAAGUCGCACGAGUGGCGGACGUGUGAGUAAUAUAUCGGAACGUGCCCCAUAGCGGGGGAUAACUACGCGAAAGAGUGGCUAAUACCGCAUACCAUUGGUGCGGCCGAUAUCGGAUUAGCUAGUUGGUGGGGUAAAGGCCCACCAAGGCAACGAUCCGUAGCUGGUUUGAGAGGACGACCAGCCACACUGGGACGGAGACACGGCCCAGACUCCUACGGGAGGCAGCAGUGGGGAAUUUUGGACAAUGGGGGAAACCCUGAUCCAGCCAUCCCGCGUGUAUGAGAAGGCCUUCGGGUUGUAAAGUACUUUUGGCAGAGAAGCGGUAUCUGCAGAAGAAGCACCGGCUAACUACGUGCCAGCAGCCGCGGUAAUAC
rnacentral:rRNA from 1 species